AGAUCCUCCCAAUAUUGAAUGGUACCACUCGAGUCCAUCUGCAUAGACCAUUUACUAAGAACAUGAACAUGAAACAGCAACAAAACUUGGGAGGGAGAGGAGGUGGUCGCAUGUACAUGAGGACUGCACCAGAGAGGAUAUCGGAGAAGGUGACGGAGAGCAUAAAGGGUGCAGAGGAGGCGUGUGCAGGUGACCCAACAAGCGGGGAGUGUGCAGCGGCGUGAGAUGAGGUGGAAGAGGUGAGUGCAGUAGCCAGCCUUGCUAGACAAAAGGAGGAGACCGACCCACUGGAGGCCUACCGCAAGGACAACUCUGCUACUGAUGAAUGCCGCACCUAUGAGGAUUGAGGCCCUCCAGGCCUUAUCUCUUCUUCUUCCUGUUAUUAAUUCAUAAUCUACUCUAUUGCCAGAUGGUUUUGGAACAUCUGGAUUUCUAUUAUAUACAUCUGGUGUUGUAAACUCCCAUUUCUUAUCUCUUUAAUUUAACUACCUGCUGAAGUA